rnacentral:RNase_P_RNA from 1 species
UCAAUGUUAAUCUCGUACGUGGGGCGCACAUGCUGGGUGCUCGUCACUCCUAUCGCCUCGGGAAGGUCUGAGUAAAGGUCUAAUUGUUCUUUAUACAUUCUAGCCGGAUGCUUUCUUUAUAAGAAAGGCAAGGGAACCAGAAAUUACAAUGCCAAGUUUAGCUUGGGAUACCUAACCGAGUGGUUAAGGAGUAGGUGUAUCCUUGGUAUUGUUGGAAACUCUUGUGACCAGCAAUUUGAGCAUAAUCUACGAGGUGACUAAGGUCAUAACUCAAUUCAGACUAGUCUUUCAUUGG